ensembl:snRNA Gm24283 U6 spliceosomal RNA
GUGCCCUCUUUGGCAGCAGAUAUGCUAACAUUGGAAUGAUACAGCGAUUGUUAGCAUGGCCCCUGCUAAAGGAUAGCACACAAAUGCAUGACGAGUUCCAUUAUUUU